rnacentral:lncRNA from 1 species
CCCUUUCAUUUUCCAACUUAUCACACCUUCCAUCAGAUUCUGCACUGUCCUCAUUGCUAGCCCUCUUCUCCAUUCUAUCUUCAGCGAAGGAUUCAUUACAACUCAUACUGGUGGGUUCUUCCUGUUUAUUGUUCUUUGGAUCUAUUGAUAGAUUUUGUUAUUUUUCUACAUUUCUAGACAAAGUGUUGAGUAAUGACUUGAUCUGUUCCUCCUCUUUUGCAAUCAAAUUCCACACAUAAAAAGGAUGCCCAGAAAUAUAGAUAUUAUUGAAUGAUGUGUUAAUUUUACUUUAUUAUAAACUUCUUUCUAUGUUACUAGACAUUUUAUCAGUUGUUUGUCAAUUCUAUGCAUGACAGUCUAACAUGGCAAGCAUCAUUUUUAGAUCCUGAUGACUUCCUAUAUGAUCUGUC